UAAUAAAAAGAAUUCGGCAAAAAUUUAUAUUCACCUGUUUAUCAAAAACAUGUCUUUUUGAAAAUAAUUUAAAGUCUAAUCUGCCCACUGAUUUUAAUUAAAGGGCUGCAGUAUAUUGACUGUACAAAGGUAGCAUAAUAAAUAGUCUCUUAAUUAGUGACUGGUAUGAAUGAUUGGAUGAAAUAUAAACUGUUUCUUAUUAAUUAAAUAUAAUUUAAUUUUUUAAUUAAAAAGUUAAAAUGAUUUUAAAAGACGAGAAGACCCUAUAGAGUUUUAUAUAUUUAAUUAUUAUGAGUAAUUUUAUAAAUUUAUAAUAUUUUAAUGAUUGAUAUAUUUUGUUGGGGUGAUAAAAAAAUUAGAUAAACUUUUUUUUAAAGUAAACAUAAAUAAGUGAUUUUAUUGAUCCAUAAUUUAUGAUUAUAAGAAAAAAUUACCUUAGGGAUAACAGCGUAAUUUUUUUUUUUAGUUCGAAUAAGAAAGAAAGUUUGCGACCUCGAUGUUGGAUUAAGAUAAAAUUUAAAUGCAAAAGUUUAAAAUUUUGAUCUGUUCGAUCAUUAAAAUCUUACAUGAUCUGAGUUCAAACCGGUGUAAGCCAGGUUGGUUUCUAUCUUUAAAAAUUUGGAAUAUUUUAGUACGAAAGGAUUUGAUA
rnacentral:rRNA from 1 species